GGGUAACCCAGGACAAGACAGCCAGGAGAGAGGACCCAAAGGAGAAACCGGUGACCUCGGCCCCAUGGGUGUCCCAGGGAGAGAUGGAGUACCUGGAGGACCUGGAGAAACUGGGAAGAAUGUGAGUGCCAUUAGGGCUUUGGGGGGCUCUGUGACAAUUCUUAGUGCCAUAAGAUCUGCCCAACAUGACCUGGUGCAUGGUUAGUCCACAGCUCUGCAGUGAGUGAAUGUAAAAGGAUUUCUGAAACGGUUGUUACUCCAAUCUAUUUUCAUUCUUAUAAUUUCCCUGGUGCUUCAUCUCUUCUCUCUCCCCAAUUCUUGCUCUCCCCAAAAACAUACUGAACAGAUACUUUUAAAAAUAAUAUCUUUGCUACUUUCAAAUAUCGGGCCAGGUUUGAUCCAACUAAAUAUUUAAGAGACCCAAAUGGAAAUCCUAAUACUG
rnacentral:lncRNA from 1 species